UACUAUUUGUGGGCAUAUUAGUACCUAGACAUAUAAUUUAGCUUCUGAUUUCCUAAUCAUCUCAUUUUAAGGGUGGUCGAGGUAGAGCUGCAGUGUUAAACUUCUCAUAUAUAGUAGCUUCAUUUCAAGUGUGAGGAAACAUGUGAAUUAUAUGUAAAAAGUACACAUUUGAAGCAUCAAGAUAACAUAAGAAAAGUUUGAUAGCAGUGGCUUUCAAAAUUUAUCCCUAAAUAUCACAACUAUCUUCUCACUAUAUAGACUACACAGCAUGCUGUCUUCUAACCUCAGCGAUUUUAUACGAUAACGGACUUUUGGAUUUAGUAUCCUUGAUCUCACUUUCCGUGCAUGGUCCCAAAAUCCUGACAGGAUUCAGGUAUAGGAACCGAGCCUAUCCUAUGCCUCACAGAGAAAUAAGAAAUGGUUUGUAAAUCUGUGCUGGGAAUGCUCUGGCCAAUGUAAAUUUCCUUAUCAAGUAAGAAAUUUUUAGCAAAAUUGAAAAGGCCAUGGGAUCUUCCUCCCUCAUUUUUGAGAAUAAGUGGGUUUCUACUCCCAAGCGCUCGCAACAGUAUUUGGCACUGUAUUUAACCAUACAAGUAUUGGCUGCUAUGAUGAUUGUGAUGAUAAUAAUGACAAUGAUUUGACCCUGGAUGAAACUGUGAUUUGACAGAAAGCUAAGGACCGCUACAGGCAUUUUCACACACCAAAUAUCAAGGGUCUCCUGUGUCAUCUUCCAGUUAACACAAAUCUUUCUGCAUGAACAUUAUUCUUACAAAACCAAACUAACUUGUUUAUUCCUCACUAUCCCUUAGUUCCAAGGAAGAGCAUUAAGCCUGCCAUUGAGGUAAGUGAAUAUAUUGGCUCUGAGCAGCCAAUGGUGAGAGAUAAAGGAAAAGAAAAGAGAGAAACAAGAGCAGGUAUGGGAGGAAAGGAAAGAACUAAGAGAAGGCUUAUGUUUGCCCUGCUGUGCUCAUGCUUUCCUGGGCCCUGGAUUCCUGCUGCAUGUUUUAUCUCCAUUCACUUCCUUCUGCAAAGAAUUACUCUCUUGGAUUAAGAUUGUCUUCCAUUUCAAUUUGUUGUUUACUGGAUUUCUUUGGUCACACAAAACAGAUGUUGUAUUAGAAGCAGUGAAAUAUAUUUGUAGGCUUUUCAUAUAAAAUUAUUUUGUGUUGUAAACAAUCCUUUACCUAACUACACCAUAAAAUAAUUGAGACAUAAAACUUUGAGGGAAAAAAUUUAAAGAAAAAGAAUAGCAUUUAAUCAAAGCAUCUCUCCCUUCUUUACAUCAUCUUCUAAUUGAUGAUAAGCUGUAUCUCUUUGUAAAGCCCCUGCAUUACACCAGGUGGUUAAAAUUAUGGGAUGUUGCUCUAGUAGGUGGAUUGGAUGGUUGUGGUAAGUUGUCAUAAGAUGAAGUUAAAAAUCAGUGGCAGGGAGAGAGUGGUUCAGGUCUAGGAAUAUCCUGAACUUACUUCCUCCUAUGCACAUACCAAAUGUACAGCUCCAUAUGAAUUGGUUCCCUUUGGAAAAGACCUGAAAACUAGCUAAAGAGCUUUUCUACAACAAAGGAUAAAAGAACUACAUUGAGACGGGAAGUAGAGGCAGAGAGGGGAUUUCACCAAAAAUCCCACCUCCAGCAUGGCGACCCACAAUCUGGAGGGAUCUCACAAAUAUGGAGAUUCUCCCUGAAGACUGAGGAGUUUGUACCCCACAUCAGAUACCCCAGCCUUUGGGGUUUGGGGGACUUAUUUCUCUCACUGAUAAAAAGUUCAAAAGUAAUGGUCAUAAAUAUGCUUGUUGAACUUAGGAGAAGAAUGGAUGAAACGAUGAGAACUUCAACAAAGAGAUAGAAGAUAUAGAAAAUAUCAGAUAGUACCAAACAGGGGCACCUUGGUGGCUCAGUUGGUUAAGCAUCUGACUCUUGAUUUUGGCUUAGGUCAUGAUCUCACCAUCAUGAGAUUGAGGCCCAUGUUGGACUCUGCACUGGACCUGCUUAAAAUUCUCUCUCUCUCCCUCUCCCUCUCCCUUUGCCCCUCCCCCCACUCAUGCACGCAUGUGUGUGCUCUCUCUCUCUCUUAAAAAAAGGAUACUACCAAACAGAAGUCACUAAACUGAAGAAUACAAUAACUCCACUGAAAAACACUCUAGAAGUGUUCAAUAGCAGACGGGAUGGAGCAGAACAAUGGACCAGCAUCCUGAUCCAAACAGAAAAACAAAAAGAAAAGAAAUUUUAAAAAGCGAAUAUAGCUAACAGGACAUCAAGUGUUUUAGGGGUCUGAGAAAGAGAAGAGAGAAAGAAAGAGAAAAGGGCAGAAAACUUACUUGAAGAAAUAAUGGCUGCAAACUUCCAAGAAGUCAGGAUGGAAACAGACAUCUACAUCCAGGAAGCUUAGAAAGUCUCAAAUAAGAUAAACCAAAGAGAUCUACACCAAAAUACAUUAUAAUUAAAAUGUCAAAAGUUAAAGGGAAAGUAUUUAAAAGCAGCAAGAGAAAACAACUUGUUACAUAUAAGGGAACUUCCAUAAGACUUUCAGCUGAUUUUUCAGUCAGAUCUUUGCAAGUCAGAAAGGAGUGGCAGGACAUGAAAAGUGCUAAAAUGAAAAAACUUCCAACCAGGAAUACUCUAAGCAAGGCAAUCAUUCAUAAUUUAAGGAGAUAUAAACACUUUUCCAGAUUAGCAAAAGCUGAGAGUUUAUCACCAAUAAACCACCCUUACAAUAAAUGUUAAAAGGGACUUCUUUAAGCUGAAAAGAGAAGGCACUAAUUAGCAAUAAGAAAACAUGAAAAUAAAAAUCUCACUGGAAGAGGCAAACAUAUAGGAAAGGUAGUGGAUUAGUCACUAUAAAACAGGUAUUGAGAUUAGAAAAACAAAAUUAGUGAAGUUAACCAUAACAAUAAUAAUAAGUUAAAGGAUAUAUAAAACAAAAUAAAAUGUAAAAUAUAACACCAAAACAUAAAACAUGGGUAGGGAAGUUGGGAUAAAAAUGUAGUCAUUAGAAAGUGCUCAAACUUUAGUUGCUAUCAACAUGAAAUAAACUACUAUGUAAACAGAUUAUUAUAUGUGUAUCUUAUGGUAAUCAUAAUAUUAAAACCUAUAGUAGAUGGAAUUAAGAAAGGAAUCUAAACAUAACACUAAGGAAAGUCAUCAAACCACAAGGGAGGAGAGCAAGAGAAGAAAGCACAGAGAGGAACUACAAAAACUAUAAAAACAGCCAGAAAAUAAUUAACAAAAUGCCAGUAAGUACACACCUAUUGAUUAUUACUUUAAAUGUAAAUGGACUAAAUUCUCCAACCAAAAGACAUAGAGUGGCUGAAUGGAUUAAAAGAAGAAGGAGAAGGAGAAGGAGAAGGAGAAGGAGAAGAAGAGGAGGAAGAGGAAGAGGAAGAACAAGAAGAAGAAGAAGAAGAAGAAGAAGAAGAAGAAGAAGACGACCCAUCUAUAUGCUGCCUACAAGAGACUCACUUCAGAUCUAAGGACACACAAAGACUGAAAAUGAAGGGAUAGAAGAAGAAAUUACAUUCAAAUGGAAAUGAAAAGCUGGUGUAUCUGUACUUAGACAAAAUAAACUUUAAAACAAAGACUAAACAAAAGACAAAAAAGAGAAUUAUAUAAUGAUAAAGGAGUCAAUCCAACAAGAAGAUAUAAUAUUUGUAAAUAUUUAUGUGCCUCCAAUAAAGGACCUAACUAUAUAAUGCAAAUUAACAGCAAUAUAAUAAUAGUAGUGGACUUCAAUAUUUCACGUACACCAAUGAAUAGACCAUCAAGACAGAUAGUCAAUAAAGAAUUCUUGGCCUUAAAUGACACAUUAGGCCAGAUGGACUUAAUAGAUACAUACAGAACAUUCCAUUCAAAAGUAGCAGACUAUACAUCCUCUUAAGUGUACAAGGAACAUUCUUCAGGAUAGAUCACAUGUUAGGCCACAAAACAAAUCUCAGUAAACUUUAGAAGAUUGAAAUCAUACCAGUCAUCUUUUCCAACAACAAUGGCAUGACAUUAGAAUUCAAUUACAGUAAACUGAACAAGUCACAAAUACAUGGAGAUUGAACAACAUGCUACUGACAAACCAGUGGGUCAAUAAGAUAUCAAAGGGGAAAUCAGAAAAUACCUUGAGACAAAUAAAAAUUGAAAUAUAACAUUCCAAAAUUUAUAGAAUGCAGCAAAAGCAGCUUUAAGGGGGAAGACAGCAAUGCAGUCUUACCUCAAGAAACAAGAAAACUAUCAAAUAAAUAAUUUAACUUUAGACCUAAAGGAACUAAAAAAAGAAGAACAAAGCCCAAAGUUAGUAGCAGGAAAGAAAUAAUAAAGAUCAAAGUGCACAUAAACAAAACAGAGACAAAAAAAAAACAGUGGAAAUGAUCAAUGAAGUUAAAAGCUAGUUCUUUGAAAAUAUAUAUAAAAAAUAGACAAACCUUUAACUAAACUCACCAGGAAAAAAAAAGAGAGAGAGGGUUCAAAUAAAUAAAAUCAGAAAUUAAAAAGGAGACAUUAUAACUGAUAACCACAGAAAUACAAAGGAUCAUGAGACCAGUAUGAACAAUUAUAUGCCAUCAAGUUGAACAACCUAAGAAUAAAGGAUAAAUUUCUAGAAGGAUAUAAUCUUCCAAGACUGAAUGAUCAAAAAACAGCAAAUCUAAAUAGACUAAGUGCUAGAAAGUAGAUUGAAUCAAUAAAAAACCUCCCAACAAACAAAAGUCUAGGACCAGAUGGCUUCACUGAUGAACUCAAAGAUUUAACACCUGUCCUUCUCAAACUCUUCCAAACCCCCCCCCCCAAACAAAAACAAAACAAAACAAAAAAUGAAGAGAAAGGAACACUUCCAAAUGCAUUUUAUGAGGCCAGCAUUACCCUGGUUACCAAAUCCAGGUAAGAACACCACAAAACAAGAAAAUUAUGGACCAAUAUCCUUGAUGAACAUAGAUGUAAAAAUCCGCAACAAGAUAUAAGCAAACUGAGUUCAAUAAUACAUUAAAAAGAUUAUAUACCAUGAUCAAAUAGGAUUUAUUCCAGGGCAAUGUAGUAUACCACAUUAACAAAAUGAAAAACAAAAAUCAUAUGAUCAUCUCAAAAUAUGCAGAAAAAAGUUUUGACAAAAUUCAACAUUUAUGAUAAAAGUUUUCUGUAGGUGGGUAUAGAGAGAAACUACCUUAUAAAGGCCAUAUAUGAGAAACAAGAGAAGGAUGGCCACUCCUACCACUUUUAUUCGAUAUAGUAUUGGAAGUCCUAUCCAUAGCAAUUAGAAAAAAAGGGGGGGGAUGAAAAGCAUCCCAAUUGGAAAGGAAGUAAAACUGUCACUAUUUGCGCAUGACAUUAUCCUGUAUAGAGAAAACCCUAAAGACUCCACACACACAAAACUGUUAGAACUCAUAAAUUCAGUAAAAUAGCAGGAUACUAAAUCAAUAUAGAGAAAUCUGUUGCAUUUUUAUACAGUAAUAAUGGGCUAUCAGAAAGAGAAAUUAAGAAAGAAAUCCAUUUACAAUUGCAUCAAAAAGAAUAAAAUAUUUGGGAAUAAAUUUAACCAAGGAGGUGAAAGACCUGUACACUAAAAAUUAUAAGACAUUAAUGAAAUAAGUUGAAGAAGAUGCAAGUAAUUGGGAAAAUAUUCCAUGCCUAUGGACUGGAAGAAUUAAUAUUGUUAAAAUGUUCAUACUACCCAAGGCAAUCUGCAGGUUCACUGCAAUUCCUGUCAAAAUCCCAGUGGUAUUUUUCACAGAACUAGAGCAAAGGAUAUUAAAAUUAGUAUGGAACCACAAAAGACACUCAGCCAAAGCAAUCUUGAGAAAGAACAAAGUCUGAAGUAUCACACUUUAUAUUACUACAAAGCUAUGUUAAUUAAAACACUGUAGUAUUGGCAUAAAACCAGACAUACAGAAAUAUGGAACAGAAUAGAGAGUUCAAAAAUAAACCCCCACACAUAGGGUCAUUGGAUUACAGCAAAGGAGCUAAGAAUAUACAAUGGGAACAGGAUAGUCUCUUCAAUAAACAGUGUUGGGAAAACUGGACAGCAACAUGCAAAACAAUGAAACUAGACCACUAUCUUACACUAUACACAAAAAUUAACUCAAAAUAGAUUAAAGACUUGAAUGUAAGGUCUUGAAAACAUAAAACUCUGGAAGACAUAGGCGUUAAGCUCCUUGAUGUUGGUCUUGGCAUUGAAUUUUUAGAUUCAACUCAAAAACAAAGGUAACAAAGCAAAAAUAAAUAGUGGGACUACAUAAAACUAAAAACUUACAAGUCUGCAUAGCAAAGGAAACUAUCAACAAAAUGAAAAGGCAACAGGGACACCUGGCUGGCUCAGUUGGUAGAGCAUGUGACUCGAUCUUGGGGAUGUGAGUUUGAGCCCAUGUUGGGUAAUGUGAUUACUUAAAAAUAAAUUCUUAAAAAAAAAAAAAAGGAAAAAGCAACCUAAUAAAUAGAUUUUGCAAGUGAUAUAUCUGAAAAGGGGUAAUAUACAAAGUAUAUAAAGAACUUUACAACUCAGUACCAAAACCCCCAAAUAAUCCAAUUAAAAAAUGAACAAAAGACCUGAAUAGACAUUUUUCCAAAGAAGACAUACAGAUGGCAGACACAUGAAAAAAUGCUCAUCAUCACUAAUCAUCAGGGAAAUGCAAAUCAAAACUACAUUUAGAUAUCACCUUACACCUGCUAGAAUGACUAGGAUCAAAAAGACAAGAAAUAACAGGCAUUGAGGAGGAUGUGGAAAAAGAGAACCCUCAUACAAUGUCAGUGGGAAUGUAAAUUGGUUCUUCAACUAUGGGAAAUAGUAUGGAGGUUUCUCAAAAAAUUAAGAAUAGAACUACUUAUAAUCCAGCACUUGUACAUCUGAGUAUCUAUCCAAAGAAAAUGAGGACACUAAUUCAAAAAGAUAUAUGCACCCCAUGUUUAUUGUAGUUUUAUUUACAAGAUAUGGAAACAACCUAACUGUUCAUGGAUGAAUGGAUAAAGAAUUUGUGAUAUAUAUGUAUCUGUGUGUGUGUGUGUGUGUGUGUGUAGAGAGAGAGAGAGAGAGAGAGAGAG